ACUCAAUCUCUUGUAACUGUCUUCAUUAAGCAUUCAGCAAUUUAUCCUAGAUGUCCGACAUAGACAUUCAAGCAGACUGUUAUAUACCCUUAAAAAGUAGGGGAACCUGAACUUUCAAUUUGUAUAGGAAAAAAUAGCGUUAACAAACUUUUCAAAGACAGACAUCUUAUAAACGCACCACCAUUUCGCUUUAUCACCCCACUAAACACAACGCUUGUGGUGCACGCAGUAGCCCCAUACACGUGCAUGGGGUGUCAUUCUUGAUUUUGACGGUUUUCAAGAUGGUCGAUAAAUGACAGUAGACCAUUAAUUUUUACAAUCAUCUUGCAUCACACAGUUGUUAGUGUUUGUUUCUAUCCGGGUUAUUUUUGUUUUG